UUUAACACAUACGGCUCAGUGCAGCACCUUAUUCAUGCUGAUGAACAUCGUUCUGCAUGGCAUUAUUAUCUGGUGGGACAAGGUGAAACCCGGAACCGGACCAUCUGACUGGACCGGCUCCCUGCAGCGCCCCCUUCUGAAGUGGAGCUCUCUCUGUGCGCGCCCCAGUCCGAUCCCUAGCCUCAAAGGGUAACCACAGAGAUGACGUCACCUUCCCACAUCGGCCUGACUGACAAUGUGCAGUGAACACAAUGUGCUCCAUAAUGGUGGCUGCUUCCUAUAAAGAUAGUACAUACGGAACAUGGGGCUGCGUCCUAUCACAGUCUCUAUGGAAAGGAUAUCCCUGCAGGAAGGAGAAAGGUGUGGUAAAGACUGUGUAGCAUUUCUGAUUCUCUAUUGUGCAAAUCUUUGGAGGGACACAGGAAAAGGAUGCGGAAGUUUCUACCGGAAGAAGGAGGAAAGUUCAAACAUAAACAGCUUCCAAAAAAUUUCAUUAGAGGAUAUUUUUCAUUUGUCACACUGCUCCGAACCCUUUCCUGACUGGAUGCCAGGUACAUGGGUUACACUGCAAACUGAGUACAGCAAAUAAUUGCAUGCUAAUAAAGAGUAAAGUGAAUAAAUAAAUAUAUUUAGGAAGUACUUAAUAAAUUGCAACACAUUGCUUUGCAAUGCAUCAUAAUCUAAUACCUGUGGAUUCUCCAAUGGUUUUGUAUUCCCUGGUAUGACCAAGUGUCAGUAACCCUUUAUUGCAUGCUGACAUGAAGAAAAAAGGAAACAAGGAAAAAAACAUUUACCGUUUUCAUGGAAUUUCAGCAAGUGGUUUGCCUGCUGCUUCUCACUAAGCAAGUGCCUUUGUUCAGGUACACCAGGCUAAUGGUCAGCCCUUCCUACAUUGUUAUAAUACGAAACCACGAUGGGUGUAUUCUGAGUUUUAAUCUGUCCAUAUAAUUCCCCCUAAUGUAGGAUCUCGAUUUUUUUAGAUUCAAAUACAAAUCACCAAGAUAAACACUUGUAAACAAUAUUUAUACAUGAAGAACUUAACUAAAGAAUGUAAUAAAAUGUAUUUGUUAUAUAAUACCCCUU